AUCUAGCUGACGAGUCCCAAAUGGAACGAAAUGCGUGUUCUUGAU
rnacentral:hammerhead_ribozyme from 1 species